rnacentral:lncRNA from 1 species
UUUUUUGAUAAGGAAUUAGGAGGUAAUUGCUUAGUAAUAGAUUGUUUUAUUUGAUAUGAACCUAGUGGAACAUUUGAUAGUAAGACUGAUACUAUCAUUGAUUCCAUUUUUGGUUUUUUCCUCUGACGUGUCUGUAACUGUGGUAUAAAGUGUCAGUGGUGACAGCAUCAGUAGCAACUGGAGCAAGAGUGAGUUGAACAUUUUGGCGAGACGAGCAGCACUGAUCUCUUUGAAAUGAUGAUGAAGCUUUCUGUUAUUCUGAUGAUGGUGGUGGCCGGGAUCUUUGCAGCAUCACAAUCCAAAUCACCUGUUUUAAUGUUUAGAAUUUGCGAAGAAACUAAGGACUUGCUCUCCAAUUUAUCCAAACCAAAGCUGAACGAGACAAAACUUCCAGUGGCAUCAGAGCCAGGAAACAUAUGCUGGGCUGGAUUCUUCUGCAGGGCUGAGAUCUGUCUGAGGAAAGUAGAUAUGCCUGAAUUAAAAACACUCGAGCAUCUUAUUGAACAGUACAACAGGGAGAACAAGGUAAAGAAGACUUUGUGAUUCAAUGUUCUUUUUAGAUGACAUGCAGAGACAUUUAAAGGCA